AUUAAUGUUAGUUUGUUCUUGUGAUAGUCCCGUCCGUCCCAACAAAAUAGUAUAAAACUUAUUUAUUCUGUGCCACAAGUUCUUAUUAAUAGACAACAGUUCCUUUCUAAGCGGAUCAGCAAUAAGAUUGACAUCGCACCAAAACAAUGUCAGAUCUGGAAGACCUUAUUUCGAUCAUUGAGGCUUCAACUUUUACUUAUGAAGAUAACGAAGAAGCAAGGACUAGAAUUGCACAAAUCUGUGAGGAUCUUAAGAAUAUAGAUGAAUACUCUUCAUUUCCAACACUUGUAACCUCCUCAAAACUUAUAGAAGCAAAUCAAAAUAACAAUAAUCAUACUCCACCAGAAAGAACAUCAGGAUCCCGCUGGUCAUCAAUUAAUAUGGAGCAACAAGAUAAUGGUCAUAUGUCACAAACAAGCAUGCCAAAGAACCUGCUUCAAACAAAUAAUUCAGAAUAUCGAGAAUCAACUGUCAUUCCUGUAAGUGGACCACAUGAAUAUCAGCAAUAUGUAGGAGAGAAACGAAAUGUAUAUAUGCCACUUCAAAGUAUACCGGUACAGCCGCGAUUAUUUCAAUAUACAGAAUUUCGAGCCAUAUAUGCAAUUUCUUCUAUUUGUAAAUCUGACCCAUAUAAUAAAAAUCAAUAUACAGAACCACAAGAUUACGACAUUCAAUGACCACAGUCUUGGAAACAACAAGAAAAUUCUAAACCUCCGUUAUGUAUGGGACAAAAAUUUAAUUCAUUAGAAUGUUCUUUUCGAUGCACGACUAAACUAAAUCAAUCAAAUAUAGUUCACCCAUCAACAGAUAAACAGAUAGUAUUGAUUUUCAUAAGACUUUUCCAAUAUUUAGAGAAUAGUCACAAAAUAAUCAUUAAAAAUCAACAUAUCUAACUUCGACAUUACCACUUAUUCCGUGGUAUUCUAUGGGUAGUCAUAAACAAUCCUAUUAUUUAUAUUCAACUCGCCAAAGGAAAUUAUAGGUAAAGACAAUAUGAAAAUAUUGUACUGUUUAAUCCACAAAUAUUGUAGACGGAAACCAAAAGUAAAAUCAAAGUACAAAAUUGUAGGAACAUAAGCAAAAAAUAUAAUUUAUUUUAUACUUGUGAUACGUUUUUAUGAUCAUAUGUAAGUUUUUAAUGUAAUAUUUUAAGAUUUAUAAAACUAUAUAAAGUAUUUGUAGAUAAUAUAA